CCUACGGGUGGCAGCAGUAGGGAAUUUUCGUCAAUGGGCGCAAGCCUGAACGAGCAAUGCCGCGUGAACGAGGAAGGUCUUCGGAUCGUAAAGUUCUGUUGACGGGGAUAAAGAGCGGAGCGAGGAAAUGGUCUCCGAUUGAUAUUACCCUUCGAGGAAGUCCCGGCUAACUACGUGCCAGCAGCCGCGGUAAUACGUAGGUGGCGAGCGUUAUCCGGAAUGAUUGGGCGUAAAGGGUGCGUAGGCGGCCUGCUAAGUCUGGAGUGAAAGGUACCGGCUCAACCGGUACAGGCUCUGGAAACUGGCGGGCUAGAGAGCAGGAGAGGGCGGUGGAACUCCAUGUGUAGCGGUAAAAUGCGUAGAUAUAUGGAAGAACACCAGUGGCGAAGGCGGCCGCCUGGCCUGUUACUGACGCUGAGGCACGAAAGCGUGGGGAGCAAAUAGGAUUAGAUACCCCUGUAGUC
rnacentral:rRNA from 1 species